rnacentral:rRNA from 1 species
CCUACGGGAGGCAGCAGUAGGGAAUCUUCGGCAAUGGACGCAAGUCUGACCGAGCAACGCCGCGUGAGUGAAGAAGGUUUUCGGAUCGUAAAGCUCUGUUGUCAGCCAAGAACAGGAAGAAGAGGGAAUGCUUUUUCUAUGACGGUAGCUGACCAGAAAGCCACGGCUAACUACGUGCCAGCAGCCGCGGUAAUACGUAGGUGGCAAGCGUUGUCCGGAUUUAUUGGGCGUAAAGGGAGCGCAGGCGGUUCGUUAAGUCUGAUGUGAAAGCCCUCGGCUCAACCGAGGAGGGGCAUUGGAAACUGGCGAACUUGAGUACAGAAGAGGAGAGUGGAAUUCCAUGUGUAGCGGUGAAAUGCGUAGAUAUAUGGAGGAACACCGGUGGCGAAGGCGACUCUCUGGUCUGUGACUGACGCUGAGGCUCGAAAGCGUGGGUAGCAAACAGGAUUAGAUACCCCAGUAGUC